rnacentral:rRNA from 1 species
AACGAACGCUGGCGGCAUGCCUAACACAUGCAAGUCGAACGAGACCUCCGGGUCUAGUGGCGCUCGUGUGCGUAACGCGGGGGAAGUUGCACUUAGGUUCGGAACAACUCCCCGAAAGGGAUCCUAAUACCGGAUAAUGUCAUCGGAGCUAAGAUCUAUCGCCUUUGGAUGGGCCCGGGAUAGUUUCGUUGGUUGGGAGGGUAAUAGCCUACCAAUGCGACGUUACAUAGCUUGUCAGGGAGGAUGGUCAGACACAGUGGGACUGAGACACGGCCCAGACUCCUACGGGAGGCAGCAGUGGGGAAUAUUGGACAGUGGGCGAAAGCCUGAUCCAGCAAGGGCGCGUGAGUGAUGAAGGCCUUAGGGUUGUAAAGCUCGUUUGCCCGGGAUGAUAAUGACAGUACCUGGAGAAUGAGCCACGGCUAACUCCGUG